CAGUCGUAGCACACAUAAGGUUUGCAAAAUAUAUUGUGCAAACUCACUUUAUGUGUCAAAAAGGCAGACAAAAUGUUUAUUACCACUACACUUGGUACAAGCUAGCGGAAAAAUUAUCAAACGCUAAGCUUCUAAAUAUGCAUUUUGAAAUACCCUGGGAUGUCUUCUUUUAUAUAGCCUGCUAAAAAAAAGUUUGAAAAAAAAUGGAAUGACUGUGUCUCAAAUGUGCCCCUUACAUAUCCACAUGUACCUGGCAAAGGUACAUAUUGGGAUAUUGCUGCACUCAGAUGACAUAGUUGAGAAACAUAUGAAGUAUUAUAC